AUGUUUUUACAUUCGUGUGAUUUGUCAAAGCUGUAAAAUUGCAACUAACCCUUUUUCUAUAGUUUGAUCCAUGAUGCAGGUUUUGGUUUGCAAGUGGCAUUUUGGCUCUGCUCAUGAACUUGUGGUUCUGAACCGUGUACCUGAAACAGCUGCUCAGAUGGAACUGUGGUCACAUUGAGAGAGUUUCAGACUUGAUGGCUUUAGAGCGGGUGCGAUCGAUGCCGAGGAGCACGUGACCGUAAGGGCCGGCGCACGCGCACCCCCCGCGCGCCUGGAUCCCGAACAGGUCGUUGAGCAGCCGCGUGACAAACCGGCAGUGCAGGUGCCUGCCACGCGUCGCUUCCGGGUACACGACGAAGGACACGACGGGCUGCCGCGCUUCCGUCGCGCUCCCCAGUACGAGCACCCGAGGGUUGCCCAGGACCCGCCCCAGCGCCCGCUGCAGCAGCCACGCCUCCGCCCGCUGGAUCGCGCCGUGCCCCGCCCACUCCUUCACCCGAAAGGCCGCGGCGGCCCGGAUCUUCUGCACGAUCGCCGGCGUGCCUGCGUCCUCCCGCUCCUCCACGUCGUUGCAGUACAGCGUGUCCUGCAGGCAGAAACAGGGGGCGUGUUCGUUGCGGCAGUAUCAGAGAUCGGACGACUGUGUGCGGAUCCAUCACCCGAGGUACGGACCUUGUCGAAACCGCUGACGUAGAGGACGGUGCCUCCGCCGCUGGUGGAAGGAGGAAUGCCCCUGAUGCGGUAGAGGUCUACAUUCAUCAGCAGGACGCCGGGGCUCCCUGGACCGCCGAUGAACUUGUGUGGACUCAGAUACACUGCAUCGUAGCCGUCCAAUUCUCCUCUUCUCAUCUCUAUGUCCACGUAUGGCCCACUUAUUAAGCCAACCAAAAAAAAAGAAUAUUAAAACGAUAAAAGGUUCUGCAUUAACUGAUUAUAUAUAUAUAUAUAUAUAUGUAUGUA